rnacentral:rRNA from 1 species
GACGAAAGCUGGCGGCGUGCUUAACACAUGCAAGUCGAACGAAGUGGCGAACGGGUGAGUAAUACGUGGGUAACCUGCCCUCCUUUUUGGGUUAAGCCUUGGAAACGGGGUCUAAUACCGAAUAAAGGGGGAUGGGCUCGCGGCCUAUGAGCUUGUUGGUGGGGUGAUGGCCUACCAAGGCGGUGACGGGUAGCCGGCCUGAGAGGAGGACCGGCCAAAGUGGGAAGAGAAUUCGGCCCAGACUCCUACGUGAGUCGGAGGGGGGGGAUAAUUCACAAUGGGCGAAGGCCUGGUCCAACCAUGCCGCGUGUGUGAAGAAGGUCUUCGGUUUAUAAAGCACUUUGAGUGGGGAGGGGUUGCUUCAAAAAUAAGCACCGGCUAACUUCGUGCCAGCCGCCGCGGUAAUUC